rnacentral:tRNA from 1 species
AGCCUCUAAGCUCAGCUGGCAGAGCGUGCGCUGUGCAAAAGCGUGGGCGGCUUCCAUGCGUGGGUUCGAAUCCCACCGAGGCUA